GACGAACGCUGGCGGCGUGCCUAAUACAUGCAAGUAGAACGCUGAAGAGAGGAGCUUCCUCUUCUUGGAUGAGUUGCGAACGGGUGAGUAACGCGUAGGUAACCUGCCUUGUAGCGGGGGAUAACUAUUGGAAACGAUAGCUAAUACCGCAUAACAAUGGAUGACACAUGUCAUUUAUUUGAAAGGGGCAAUUGCUCCACUACAAGAUGGACCUGCGUUGUAUUAGCUAGUAGGUGAGGUAAUGGCUCACCUAGGCGACGAUACAUAGCCGACCUGAGAGGGUGAUCGGCCACACUGGGACUUAGACACGGCCCAGACUCCUACGGGAGGCAGCAGUAGGGAAUCUUCGGCAAUGGGGGCAACCCUGACCGAGCAACGCCGCGUGAGUGAAGAAGGUUUUCGGAUCGUAAAGCUCUGUUGUAAGUCAAGAACGGGUGUGAGAGUGGAAAGUUCACACUGUGACGGUAGCUUAACAGAAAGGGACGGCUAACUACGUG
rnacentral:rRNA from 1 species